AACAGGAUUAGAUACCCUGGUAGUCCACGCUGUAAACGAUGUCGACUUGGAGGUUGUGCCCUUGAGGCGUGGCUUCCGGAGCUAACGCGUUAAGUCGACCGCCUGGGGAGUACGGUCGCAAGGUUAAAACUCAAAUGAAUUGACGGGGGCCCGCACAAGCGGUGGAGCAUGUGGUUUAAUUCGAUGCAACGCGAAGAACCUUACCUACUCUUGACAUCCAGAGAAUUUGCUAGAGAUAGCUUAGUGCCUUCGGGAACUCUGAGACAGGUGCUGCAUGGCUGUCGUCAGCUCGUGUUGUGAAAUGUUGGGUUAAGUCCCGCAACGAGCGCAACCCUUAUCCUUUGUUGCCAGCGAGUAAUGUCGGGAACUCAAAGGAGACUGCCGGUGAUAAACCGGAGGAAGGUGGGGAUGACGUCAAGUCAUCAUGGCCCUUACGAGUAGGGCUACACACGUGCUACAAUGGCAUAUACAAAGAGAAGCGAACUCGCGAGAGCAAGCGGACCUCAUAAAGUAUGUCGUAGUCCGGAUUGGAGUCUGCAACUCGACUCCAUGAAGUCGGAAUCGCUAGUAAUCGUAGAUCAGAAUGCUACGGUGAAUACGUUCCCGGGCCUUGUACACACCGCCCGUCACACCAUGGGAGUGGGUUGCAAAAGAAGUAGGUAGCUUAACCUUCGGGAGGGCGCUUACCACUUUGUGAUUCAUGACUGGGGUGAAGUCGUAACAAGGUAACC
rnacentral:rRNA from 1 species